rnacentral:rRNA from 1 species
CAGCUAGUUGGUGGGGUAAUGGCCCACCAAGGCGACGAUCGGUAGCUGGUCUGAGAGGAUGAUCAGCCUCACUGGGACUGAGACACGGCCCAGACUCCUACGGGAGGCAGCAGUGGGGAAUAUUGGACAAUGGGCGCAAGCCUGAUCCAGCCAUGCCGCGUGGGUGAUGAAGGCCUUAGGGUUGUAAAGCCCUUUCGGCGGGGAAGAUAAUGACGGUACCCGCAGAAGAAGCCCCGGCUAACUUCGUGCCAGCAGCCGCGGUAAUACGGGGGGGGCAAGCGUUGUUCGGAAUUACUGGGCGUAAAGGGCUCGUAGGUGGCCAACUAAGUCAGACGUGAAAUCCCUCGGCUUAACCGGGGAACUGCGUCUGAUACUGGAUGGCUUGAGAUCGGGAGAGGGAUGCGGAAUUCCAGGUGUAGCGGUGAAAUGCGUAGAUAUCUGGAGGAACACCGGUGGCGAAGGCGGCAUCCUGGACCGACACUGACGCUGAGGAGCGAAAGCCAGGGGAGCAAACGGGAUUAGAUACCCCGGUAGUCCUGGCCCUAAACGAUGAAUGCUUGGUGUGGCGGGUAUCGA